UCCCAAAUUUCUUGUCUUAGAUUUGUCUAGAUACGGAUGUAUCUAAUACUAAAAUGUGACUUGAUACAUCCGUAUCUAGACAAAUCUAAGACAAGAAUUUUGGGACGGAUGGAGUACUUU
rnacentral:pre_miRNA from 1 species